GUGUCAGCAGCCGCGGUAAUACAGGGGGUGCAAGCGUUGCUCGGAAUCAUUGGGCGUAAAGCGCACGUAGGCGGUCUGUUAUGUCGGAUGUGAAAGCCCUUGGCUCAACUGAGGAAGUGCAUCCGAAACUGGCAGGCUAGAGUACUAAAGAGGAUCGCGGAAUUCCCGGUGUAGAGGUGAAAUUCGUAGAUAUCGGGAGGAACACCAGUGGCGAAGGCGGCGAUCUGGGUAGAUACUGACGCUGAGGUGCGAAAGCGUGGGGAGCAAACAGGAUUAGAAACCCUCGUAGUCC
rnacentral:rRNA from 1 species